rnacentral:rRNA from 1 species
AUGCAGUCGAGCGGUAAGGCCUUUCGGGGUACACGAGCGGCGAACGGGUGAGUAACACGUGGGUGAUCUGCCCUGCACUUCGGGAUAAGCCUGGGAAACUGGGUCUAAUACCGGAUAUGACCUCCUAUCGCAUGGUGGGUGGUGGAAAGAUUUAUCGGUGCAGGAUGGGCCCGCGGCCUAUCAGCUUGUUGGUGGGGUAAUGGCCUACCAAGGCGACGACGGGUAGCCGACCUGAGAGGGUGACCGGCCACACUGGGACUGAGACACGGCCCAGACUCCUACGGGAGGCAGCAGUGGGGAAUAUUGCACAAUGGGCGAAAGCCUGAUGCAGCGACGCCGCGUGAGGGAUGACGGCCUUCGGGUUGUAAACCUCUUUCAGCAGGGACGAAGCGCAAGUGACGGUACCUGCAGAAGAAGCACCGGCUAACUACGUGCCAGCAGCCGCGGUAAUACGUAGGGUGCAAGCGUUGUCCGGAAUUACUGGGCGUAAAGAGUUCGUAGGCGGUUUGUCGCGUCGUUUGUGAAAACCAGCAGCUCAACUGCUGGCUUGCAGGCGAUACGGGCAGACUUGAGUACUGCAGGGGAGACUGGAAUUCCUGGUGUAGCGGUGAAAUGCGCAGAUAUCAGGAGGAACACCGGUGGCGAAGGCGGGUCUCUGGGCAGUAACUGACGCUGAGGAACG